GCACACACAGGGCUGUGCCCCCUUCUACACAUGAACUAACUGAGAAGAAACAUCACUUCCCAAUAUAACUGUUACGCUAUAAAUUAACAUUCACGUCAUGGCCAAAUCCUCAUAGCAGUUGUGCUGUACAGAGAAGCUGCUUUCCAGAGCCACGGGGGCACAGCCUGAGCAGUUUGUGGAGAAGGGGACCAAGGCCUCUCAGCCUAUGCUGGGCUCCAGGGCCAGAAAAGCACAAACUGUCUGACUCCAGGAGCUGGGAUUUUAAGAAAAGCUGCCAGCAGUUGCACAGAUACUGAGGAAAAUGGUGGCACGUAAUGACCAGGGCCACUGUGACUGAAUAUGAGAGGAGAGCCUGCAGCAAGGCACCGCAGCAAAAACAAGGCUCCCCCAAACGAGGCUCCAUCUUGAAGAUCUACGAGUGUUCUGGUGGAGAUGCUUCUGCAAAGCCCGGCCCCAUCCUGAAUCUGAGGACAUCAGACUUGUGCACAUGUGGACUGAUGCCAAUGGAACCAAUGGAAUGUCUCUGGGUACACAUUCACUGGGACUGAGGACUGAAUAACACUAGGAAAGGACCAUGCAAGAUAAAGAGGAGGAGCAUAACUUCUGAAGAAACUGUUUUGAUCUGCUUUGGGUUUUCCCAAUAUUGGCAAUUCUUUGUUUUGAAUACAUUUUUUCCCCUUUAAGAGAAGUAUACUCCAAGCCAGUCUUGUGCUACAGCUUCUUUACCUUUGUCUGCCUAACUCAGCUGGUAUUUAAUUGGUCAGCAAUAGGAGGGAAGUCUCCUUUGAGGUAAUGAAUAUUGACUGUUUAUGUUGAAAUGUCACUGUGAAAAGAAAGCCCAGCACCAAAGAGGCGGAACUCAGUGUGAGAGUUUCAGACACAAAGGAGACACCAGCAAAGCACAGGCAUUGAAAAGCAAAGCAGCUGAAAUUCA
rnacentral:lncRNA from 1 species